UUACGACCAUAUCACGUCGAGACACAGGUUCUCCUUCAAUCACUGAAGUUAAGCCACAUCGAGCCUGGUCAGUACCUUGAUAGAUGACAACUUGGGAAUACCAGGUGCUGUAAG